AAAAAGUGAAACUACUGUGUUGUUCAUUUAAAGUGCAUUUUUACAUUGGACUAAGUGAAAAUCAUGGUUUCUGGUUUAAACCUGUUUUGUUCAGUUUGCCUUAAAGCAAAUAACGAACCCCCUAGAACAAAUUAAAAGCAACAAUUUGACUUGAGUAGUAUUUUUACUUUAAACCAGAAGUUUUCAUGUCAUGUGACCACAUGACGUCACAUCAACUAACUCCUUGUUCGCGCCAGCCGGCGUUUUGCCAUCCGCCAUUAUCGCUUCGAGUGUGAAGACGGUCCGUGGCCCAAGGAAAUCGCUUUUAGACAAGGUUGGAUUUUGUUUCCUGGAAAUUCCAGAAUUUUGCCCUUAUUGCUGAAUUUGUCUUUCAAUGAAUGUGGAAAUGCAAAGACUGUGGUACU